UUUUCUUCGAAUGCUACGAGGCCCGGUAAAAGACGUGUGGGCGCAGUGAUCGAUUCUCCAGUCAUCCGGAACACUCACAAAUUUUGCACCCUCUCGUUUUGGUUCAACUACAAGUCGAAUGGAACGGCUAUAGACGUCGACCUGAACAUGAAGGCAGACGGGUACACCUUCCCCGUGUGGACUCUCAGUGCGCUGAGCGAGACGCCCAAAGAAAGAAUCUGGGGUCUAGCUGAGGUGGAAAUCGGCCGUUAUCGGUCAGAAAUCAGCUUAUAUUUCAGCGGUUUUCACGAUCAGCCGGAUCAGUCAAUGUUUGCUGUGGACGAUAUUGAGUACAACGCCUG
rnacentral:lncRNA from 1 species